CUGCAGGAAUAAGGCACGGCCUAACUCGGUGCCAGCAGCCGCGGUAAUACGGAGGGUCCAAGCGUUGUCCGGAAUCACUGGGCGUAAAGGGUGUGCAGGUGGGGCACCAAGUCAGAGGUGAAACCCCGCGGCUUAACCGCGGAGGUGCUUUUGAAACUGUUGUUCUUGAGUCCCGGAGAGGUUGCCGGAAUUGGUGGUGUAGCGGUGAAAUGGGUAGAUAUCACGAGGACCCCCAGAGGCGAAAGCGGGCAACUGGACGGGUACUGACAUUGAGGCAGGAAAGGUGGGGGAGCAAACAGGAUAAGAUACCUGGGUAGUCCGCCCGGUAAACGAUGAAUGCUCGCGGUUGCCUCGUCAAGGGGCAGUGGCUAAGCUAACGCGUAAGCAUCCGCCUGGGAUU
rnacentral:rRNA from 1 species